UACGAAGGGGGCUAGCGUUGCUCGGAAUCACUGGGCGUAAAGGGCGCGUAGGCGGCCGGUCAAGUCAGAGCUGAAAGUCCAAGGCUCAACCUUUGAAUUGCCUUUGAUACUGUUCGGCUCGAGACCGGAAGAGGUGAGUGGAACUGCGAGUGUAGAGGUGAAAUUCGUAGAUAUUCGCAAGAACACCAGUGGCGAAGGCGGCUUACUGGGCCGGUACUGACGCUGAGGCGCGAAAGCGUGGGGAGCAAACAGG
rnacentral:rRNA from 1 species